UAGCAGAGGUCUCAAGCGUUGUUCGGAUUCAUUGGGCGUAAAGGGUGUGUAGGUGGCGCCGUAAGUCGGGGUGUGAAAAUUUCGGAGCUUAACUCCGAAACUGCAUUCGAUACUGCGGUGCUUGAGGACUGGAGAGGAGACUGGAAUUCAUGGUGUAGCAGUGAAAAUGCGUAGAGAUCAUGAGGAAGACCAGUGGCGAAGGCGGGUCUCUGGACAGUUCCUGACACUGAGACACGAAGGCCAGGGGAGCAAACGGG
rnacentral:rRNA from 1 species